ACCCGCUGAACUUAAGCAUAUCAAUAAGCGGAGGAAAAGAAACCAACAGGGAUUGCCCUAGUAACGGCGAGUGAAGCGGCAACAGCUCAAAUUUGAAAUCUGGCGUCUUUGGCGUCCGAGUUGUAAUUUGCAGAGGGCGCUUUGGCAUUGGCAGCGGUCCAAGUUCCUUGGAACGGGACGUCACAGAGGGUGAGAAUCCCGUACGUGGUCGCUAGCCUUUACCGUGUAAAGCCCCUUCGACGAGUCGAGUUGUUUGGGAAUGCAGCUCUAAAUGGGAGGUAAAUUUCUUCUAAAGCUAAAUACUGGCCAGAGACCGAUAGCGCACAAGUAGAGUGAUCGAAAGAUGAAAAGCACUUUGGAAAGAGAGUUAAAAAGCACGUGAAAUUGUUGAAAGGGAAGCGCUUGCAGCCAGACUUGCCUGUAGUUGCUCAUCCGGGUUUUUACCCGGUGCACUCUUCUAUAGGCAGGCCAGCAUCAGUUUGGGCGGUUGGAUAAAGGUCUCUGUCAUGUACCUCUCUUCGGGGAGAACUUAUAGGGGAGACGACAUGCAACCAGCCCGGACUGAGGUCCGCGCAUCUGCUAGGAUGCUGGCGUAAUGGCUGU
rnacentral:rRNA from 1 species